rnacentral:lncRNA from 1 species
UCCAGCUUCCUCCAUGUCCAUUUCUCCAUUCUUCUCCAUAACCCGCAUCCUCCUUUUCUAUUCCAAGCUUCAUAUUUGUGAGACCCUCCAUGUCCAUGCCUCCAAUUUCUCCCUCUUCUCUCUCUCAUCCCCUCUUCUCUCUCAGUCUUCCCUCUGGCUCCAGCACCCAUCCUUAUGGCUGCAAGCAUGCUGACCCUGUGGCAUCCCCUCUUCUCUCUCAAUCAAAAGGUAUUCAAUUUUAGGGAUUUAGGAAGAGUAACUUAGGGUUUUCUAGAUUUUGGGAUUUUGGGUUAUUGAUUUGUUGUUAAUGUAUGAAGAUAAAAAUUGAUUUGUUUUUAUUGGGAUUUUGGGUUAUUGAUUUGUUGUUAGUGUAUGAAGAUAAAAAUUUUGGGUUAUUGCUUUGUGAGGGUCAUUGGGAAAUUCUUUGGGAUUUUCAGUUAUGGAGAUAAAAAUGGGUGGAGAUGCAUAGACAUGUGUGCUGCAUAUUAUGUAUUGGUUUUAGAUUCAAUAGACGGGCAGAAAGCAAAGAAAGUGUGGGUUGCAGAUCAUGCGUGGGGAUGCAGAUUAUGUAUCUGUGUUUGUGUUCUUUCCAUUUGAUUCAAUCCAAGUUUUUUUAUUUUAUUUUUAUUGUGUUGGAUAAAAGAUUCAUGCUCUGAAAAAAAAAAAAUUAGCUUUUCCCUCUUCGUAUUCUGCUGCAUCAAUAGUAGCCCACAAAUCCUACAAACCCUAAAUGAAUAUAAUUGUUGUUGUGAUUUGUAGAUGAAGAUAAUGGUUUGAUCAGUACCAAUAUCCAGAUUUACCAACAAAAAAAAAUCAUGGUAAAAACCG